AUGCAGCAACAGGUGAUCCGGGCGUUUCAUGAUACCCCCCUUGGAGGACACUCGGGCUUUCCAGUAACAUGGCGACGAGUACGCCGCCUCUUUGCUUGGGCCAAAAUGAAAACACACAUUCAGCACUAUGUUGGUUGUUGCCCUACAUGCCAACAGGCAAAGCCAGACCGAGCCGCUUACCCUGGCCUGCUCGAGCCCCUACCGGUGCCCAAGGAAUCCUGGGAGAUGAUCACAAUGGAUUUCAUUGACGGACUCCCAACUUCUGGAGGGGUGAACUGCAUUCUUGUGAUCGUCGAUAAGUUGACAAAAUUUGCUCACUUCCUGCCCCUAGCACACCCUUAUACAGCCGCCAAAGUGGCACUACUGUACAUGAACCAAGUCUACAGUUACAUGGAUUCCCGGGGUUGA
rnacentral:rRNA from 1 species